CGGGAAGCCAGCGCGGAGAGGAAAAACCACAUUCUAGCGGCGGGUCGUCGUAUCAAAGUGCCACGAGUUAAAUAAUCGAAGAUUACGGCACCAUCACGCGAGUGACUGACUUCCGCUAAACCUGCUCCUGUGUGUGUAACGGAUCGUUUGUGUUGCACGAGACACGGGAAACACGUAUAGCUUUCUGAAUUGACAAACACGAGGCCAUAGAGAGCUGGGACACUCCAAUCCAAUCCGUGGUGGACAAUGGCGAUCUACGAACGAAAUCGAAGUCAUCACUGGCAAUUAAGACGAAACUGGUUUUCACAAUGAACUGACAGAUAGAUAUAAUUCUGAGAUCAUUGUGAAAGCUGAUUUUGUUUAAGUAUCGACGGAACACACACACACACACACGUACACACGUGUACAGUCGGGGAAGAAAAUAGCGA